rnacentral:rRNA from 1 species
UACGUAGGGUGCAAGCGUUAUCCGGAAUUAUUGGGCGUAAAGAGCUCGUAGGCGGUUUGUCGCGUCUGCUGUGAAAACUGGAGGCUCAACCUCCAGCCUGCAGUGGGUACGGGCAGACUAGAGUGCGGUAGGGGGAGAUUGGAAUUCCUGGUGUAGCGGUGGAAUGCGCAGAUAUCAGGAGGAACACCGAUGGCGAAGGCAGAUCUCUGGG